AUCAAAUUUCAAACUUUCAAAGUUCCCUACCAUUGAUAACUAUGUCAAAUAUUUUAGAUGCAUCCAAGAAAAUGCAAUUUUGGUCAAAGUCGAUGAAGAUUCAAUCAUAUAUUGAUAUCGUUCAUUAAACAUGGAAUGCAGCCCUGCUCUCAUCUUUUUUUUUUUUUUUGGUUGGCCACUCACCACUGCGUCUAUCUCACGCUCAAAAUAUGUAUUAUUCUAUUUCCAAGUGCUAGCUUUGUCCACUUUCUUCGUGAAACAACAGUGUUGCAGGCUCUUGUAUAUUUUGGGGUUGACUGGUUGUGCUGAUUUUCUGCAGGUCUCUUCUGAAUGGAAUCCUGUUGCUGCUGAUUUUAUGUGCUUUUUUUUGCUAUCAUUUUGUUUGGUUCUAUUUGAUUGUUUGCUGCUGUCAUUUCGUUUGCUGCUAUUGUUGUAUGGUUUGUUUUGAUUGGAAUUAGUGCUUGCUCCAUAGGAUAGGUGUACUGGGAUUUACUUGUCGGCAGCUUAUUAAAAAAAAAAAAGAAAAUCUCUUACAAGGUUUGUCAAACUGCUUUUCGAAGAAAGGCGGCUUAGCCAUUCUAAAUCACCCCAUUAACAAGCUGCAUAUUCGAAACGAUUACCCCAAAAACAGAUUAUGUGAUCCAUCUUUUUAUUGUUUAAUCUAUUAGUGGUUUGUGGAAGAAAAUCAGCGCCACCUCAAUUA